GUCGUACCAUCAUAAAGAGACUGUGGUGGGCGUGUACGAGCACGUCGCUGCUGCUAGCUUAAAUCAGAAAUAAUGUUAGUGACCACAGUAAGAUGCUUUUUGUCGUGUGGGUGAUACUUGUUAGCACGGACUCCUUUGAGGUUAACUGGAAUUUAAGCUGUUUGAGUGAGUCUUAACACAUUACUCGGGUUAAUGCAGCGUUUUGAGCUUCCUACUUAAUCUUUAAGUUUCUAAGACAGACGAGAGACUUCAUCGGUUAACGGUUCUUCAGCCUGCUAGCCAAGAAAGAAAAAUCCUCUACAUCCAAAAAACGCAGCUAACAUUCAUUUAUGUUAACGUCCGUCCCCGUAUGUGUGUCGUAUCUGGACCUCACCAGUGUUUCUAACUGCUGGUUUCUAUCCACCACGAUGUAUGGGAUGUCGGGAUGACAGGAACAUGGCAAACGGGGUUGGAAAACACAAGCUGCUUGUCAUUUUACCAACAGAGCCAUGGUCGGUGAGGGAGAAGCUGUGUUUGGCCACAUCUGUGAUGAAGAGUGGGGACCAGAACUGGGUAUCUGUCAGUCGAGCCAUCAAACCCUUUGCAGAAUCUGGCCGACCACCUGAUUGGUUCUCUCAAAAGCACUGUGCGUCCAAGUACUCUGAGCUCCUGGAAACAACAGAGGCCCCAAAGCGGAAGCGUGGUGAGAAAGGUGAAGUGGUGGAGACGGUGGAGGACGUAAUAGUACGCAGGCUGACAGCUGACAGGAUUGAUGAACUAAAGAAGCUGAUCAAAGAACACAGGAGACACACAGGAAGCUGAAGAGAGAGGCUGAACUGAUUCAAGCAGGGCAUCUCGACUCCAAGCUGGAGGAGAUUUGGGAAGAAAUUCAGCAGAAGAAGAAACAGGAUGAAGAGGAGGCGGAGUUGAAAAGAAAAAACACAGAUGCUGCUUAUCAGGCCAGACAGGUGGCAAAGAACACACCUAAGCGAGUGCCUGGCAUCACCAUGCAUUCACCCUCAGGUUGUGGCUCCCCAAGUCAGGACUUCUCUGCAGGUGACCCACUCGAGUGCCUGACACUGGAUCUUGUACCAACGAAGACUGCGUCAGGGUCGGCCAGAUUAAUGACGAUUCCUGAGUCUUCUGGACCCGUUAAUGAUGACAUCAGCCAUGGGUCACUUCUCGAUGACCCCGCCCAAAAGAAGCUCCUGGGCCAGAAAGCCACGCCACCUCCUUCUCCGCUGCUGUCAGAGUUACUGAAGAAAGGGAGCAUCUUGGCUACAAAUGCAAGACUGAUGGGGGAGGGAGACCGUCCAUAACAGGAGUGCAUGAUCUGCAGCUGUCUCAACCGACUCAACCCUGUCUCAGGCAACAGGUAGA